rnacentral:misc_RNA from 1 species
AUUGGUACUGCCCACCUGUAUCCCAAAAGGAAAAACCAUUAAAUAAAAAACAAAAAAUGAACAAUAAUAAAAAAAUUCAGACUUCACUUGAGGGUAUUCUAAGAGUCCUCUGAGCAUAUGUAUCCAUUUAUACCACUUACGAAUCAACUGAUACAUUUGAACAAUAUAAAUUAUAUUUAACACGCCUCAAUGGUGUCAUUAUUGUUCUACUAGGAAGGAAUGAAGAAUUUUCAAUGCUUUUGUCUAUGUACUAAAGGAAUUAUUUUCGUUUUUGUGGUUGCGAACAAAAUGCAUGACAAUCACACUGCAGAAAAUCAAAAGAUAAUAUUCAAUUUCACACACGGCAAAACACCAUCUUAAGAUAUAACAGGCCUCCUUUUUUAGGACCAAAAGUGGAAAUGUU